UGCGCCACUGCGCUGGGCCUAUAAUCCUCUACUGCUCAGGGGCUAUGUAGCCAGAAGCGGCAGGAUUUGUGACUUCCUCACUCAUUCCAAUAGAUAACAUCACUAUUGUAGAACCUAAGCCUUAAACACUGAAGAGACCCCCACAAACAGGCUUUGUGUGAGCAACAUGGCUGUUGAUUCACCAGGGUGCAGGCGGCUGAGUCUGAAGAGAGAAUCAGUGGACGGUGGGGACAGGAGCUGAUUUUAUAGGUUUGGGGUAGAGUGGUGGAAAGUUACAGAAGUUACAGUUCAGGGUGGUUUUUGCAAGCUGGGAGUGGGUCGCAGCGUCUG